GUUUCGCGCUCUCCCUUUUGCACCGAGAUAUUUGGUUCAAAAGUGAUUUGUGCAUCUGUAGAGGUAGUGGGCGGGACUGUUUAGAGAUUACAGAAUUUCAGCCAAUCAGAAGAGCUUACUGAGCCGGUAGAUAUACGCCCCAAGCAGUUUUACGCCCCUGUUGUUCCUCAUGCGUCCAGUAGGGGGAGGCAGUAUAUUAGUAUAUGAGCCCAGUCAUUUAUAAGAACAGCAGACCAUAUCUAUAUGUAUGAUAGCAGCAGACCUUCUUGAAGCGAUACGGAUGAGUGUUCCAUCAAUAUUGUUCAUUGAAGAUCAGGAGCGAAUUGAUGUUAUCUACACUCAGAUGACUUCAAUUUUGGAUGGCACACCUACACACACCCACAGUGACCAGAUCAGAUUCAUUAUGGAUGUCCCUUUUCCAGAGGUAUGGUCUUGUGUGUUAGUUGUGCUCUGCAUGGUGUCAUAUUCACAUUGUUUUUAAUGUCAAAUAGUUUAUCCAUAAUGUUAGAUAAUUUCUAUAAAAUAAUAGUUUUGUGCUUAAUAUAGAAAAGGAACUUUGGAUUUUGUUGUAAAAAAAAAAAAAAAAAGCAAAA